GGCUUCUGUGACCUGUGAGUAAUAAAUCCUGUGACUCUGUUCCUUUGGGUGGGUGCAUUGAAACUGCCCCUUCAAUCAAAAUGAGCCUGUGGGUGUCACUUCCCCACAGUGGGAGCUCGGAUGCUGAGGGAGCUCCCUGCUGACCCUGUGUGGGUGGCCUGCGCCCCCUCAUUCACGACGUCAUAAUCUGCCUAUCAAUUCAAUACACCAGCUCCGGCUUCUGCACACAAUGGGCCAUGGGGAUGGGGCUGUGGGCUGUUUGUACCCACUCGAUGCCUCGGAGCUGUGAAGGGCUUAACGAACCUCCUCUCCUGGACCGCUCAGUGUCUCUGGGAGGAACCACCGCUUGCUGGGGUCUGCGGUGGGGAUUGCCACUGCUGCAUAAGCUGCUGCCGGGUGAAGCCUCGGAUUCCCGCCCUACACUGUCAGUGCUGUAGGUCAGAGCGCCCUGCAGAGACCGGCCUGCAGGCCUCAGUCUGAGAUACCCUAGGGGAGACCACGGACUUGUCACCACAGCGAGGACACUCCCAAAUGACAUGAGCCACCAGGGCAGAAGAUGCAGACAAAAGAAAGGAGGAAAUGGACUCUGCAGAAGAGACCCCCCCAAGCUCUGGAGCCCACAGGGAUGAGGGGAAGACGCUCUGCCUGUCCUGACUUGGACUUUUAUGGCUUGGCACCAAGCCCAGCCUUCCAUCACAGUUAUCACAGCAAACACUCACUGUGCAUGGAAAACCCUGCAUGACACGCACCUCCUGUUACAUCAAAUUGGAUGGUUCAAUGGGUGUAUCAUUCUGUUGAGAGCCAGGCACGCACAGAGCCCCUCACCAUUUCUAACCCAGAGGAGGCACCCUUGGGGCCAGCAUCUAAGUUCUUCUUAAAGGGGGAUCUGCUAUUCUUAAGGCCAUGCUGUCACAAUUCAUAGAAAUGUCAGCUACAGUACAACAGGCAGUAGACUGCAUCGAUGCUGUAGCUGGACACAAAAAAGAGAAUUUUCCAGAUCUUGUUUGCCAGUAAAGGUGAAUGGGCCCCACUGCCCCCUCCCCGAGAAACACAACAGAGGGUCCCUAGGGAAUAUGGGUUCUUCCAGGCUCCUUAUUGGUACCACAGAGGGGUGGCACCUUGUCCCAUCUCUCUCCUUCAUGAAGUGACCACCAGGUCUCCCUGCAUUGGCAGCUCUGGAGAUCAGGGGUCCCGAAUGACCUAAUUUCGGGACAGCCUGACCAUGACUUAGAAGCAUUUGCUCAGGCACUGCGGGCUCUGCAACAGACUGCCGACCCCCCCACCCCAAGGAUGGAUGCUGUCACCUCUCAGAAUGCCCCAGCCAUGGCAGCAGGAUCUGGGAUCCGUACCCUGAUCUCUGAGAGUGGCAGCAAUUGAGGCCCCUGUGCUAGGAACCUGGCUGUUCCCCAGAGAGUGUCUCUCCCCUGGGGGACAAUCACCCGCACACUUCUUUAAUUAUCUAUUGGGACACACGUAAGAAACAAC
rnacentral:lncRNA from 1 species